UAUAUAUAUUAAUUAUAUCGGGUUGAGUUUGGAUAGGGGAGGUGAUUCUCGCCCCGCCCCAUCCCCGUUGCAGGUGAUCAAAAUAUAAUCCACUCCUGCCCCCACAUAAGUGUCAAGUCGGAUAAAAUCUAUCACAUUUGAAUGAGUGAUUAUUCAAUACUCUCGGAAUAUGGACACGUGGUGCUCCAUAAGGUUUUGAUAGAUAGAGAGGGGUAAGGGUCCACAAUUUAUGUUAGGGAUGGAGAAUAAAAUGGAGCUUAGUAAUUGGUGAUUGGCUUAGAAUAUGAACACGUGGUGUUCUGGAAUAUUGAAUAAUUUUUCCAUUUGGACAGGUAUGAACGAGCUGCGAGGAUCGGACUAAAAUAGUCAUCUCUAAUCUGAGGGAUGGCUAGCAAAGUGGAAAGUAAUAUCGUCAAAAACAUUUUAUGCCAAGGAAGUUGGUUUCUACAAGUGGUCGACGUUGUUGAUUUCUCAGAAUUGAAGAUCGAAGUCUUCGUCAUCUUCUUCAGAAAACUUACACAAAUCUGAGUCAUUGAUAACCAUUGCAAGAACAUCUCAACAUGAAAGAGGAAUUGACAAAUGCAAAGAGGAGAUCUUGAGAUGCUUUGAAUGGAUUUCGAGUUUAAAGAUCAACUUUCAAGAAAGUUGGUUAUGCGGAGUUGGAUUAUCAGAAUUAUUCAUGAAAAAGGCAGUUCAAUGAACCAUCUCUUAUAUCUUGGAACGCUUUUGGGAGAAGGCUUAAAAACCGGGCUACCAAUUGUUGAGAAAGGGUGACAAUGAAGAUGAAGGAAAUUACAUCAUUUGAAGAUGGAGCACUGUAACUACAAAAAAUAAAAAAUCAAAAAUAAAUUAUUGGUGGAGGUUUGGAGUGGAAAGAAAUUAUGUGUGGAAAGGUAUAGGAUUACCCAGAUGGCUGUUUGGUUUCAUGACUGUUCAGAUCAGUAAAAAUUGUCAAAGGUAUGGAAAGCCAAUUCUCUCCUUAGAUUGCCUCAUUUUCGAAAUUUUGGAAUGUCUUGUUGGGAGGGUUAUCAAUUACGGUUGGCUGUGGUUCUUCGACAAAGCUUCGGGAUGAUGUUUGGUAGAUGGAAAAACUCAUUAGGAGGUAUUUCUGAGGUUCUUCUGCCUUGUGGAUAUAUAGAUCAAAAUUAUGGUGAGUGAUUUUUCCUAAAAUGACUAUGCAGUGAUUUUUUUGGAUGGCUAGAUUUAAUUCUAAAGAAGUUGUGGUACAAUAAUCAUUUCAGUUUUCAGCUCCCAAACCUCAACCUUACCCAAAAAAAAAAAAAAAAAAUUCAUCAUUCUAGGGGAGCCGGACUCAAUCAUGGAAUCUUUGGCCUAUUAGGAGCCACUAAGUAACUUGGAAGGAAUUUACUAUCAAAUCCUUAUGAGGGAGAGCUUAAUGGAAGCAAAGCUGUGAGUAGGAGUCUCAUUUGGAAGAACAUUAGUCUAUAUCUGGUGUGGAUAGAAUUACAAACAAGUUGAGUUGAUACCAAGUGGUAGGCUGUUAAGUUUGGCUUGAAAACUUAACGAGUUUCCAAACGUGCAACUUAUUUACAUAACUACUUUUAAAAUGUGUUGAUACUUGACUUGUUUACAUUACAAACUGGUCUAGAAUGAGAUUUUAACAAGUUGAACUCGGGAAAAUUAAAUGGUCCGUUCUUGUUUCCUCAGAAGGUCUUGUGCUAUACUGGUUUGAAAAAUUGAAAGUUAGAGAAAAUUAUUUUGGAGGCAA